rnacentral:misc_RNA from 1 species
ACUCUUCAACCCACCAAUUCCUUGUUGAAUUGCGUGGUGUUUGGAUUCUGAGUGUUGCUGGCCUAGCGCUUUGGCGCAGAGGCGAAGCUCAUUCGUAAUACAUUAGCGACUCAAUUUCGAGUUUUCGGUUUGACUCGGCGUAAUAGACUAUUCGCUGAGGACACUUCGGUGGCCGAAUCUCGAGGUAGAAGCUUCCAAUUUGUAGUCUUUACUCUAAG